rnacentral:rRNA from 1 species
AACGAACGCUGGCGGCAUGCCUAACACAUGCAAGUCGAACGAGACCUUCGGGUCUAGUGGCGCACGGGUGCGUAACGCGUGGGAACCUGCCCUUAGGUUCGGAAUAACUCCCCGAAAGGGGUGCUAAUACCGGAUAAUGUCUGCGGACCAAAGAUUUAUCGCCUUUGGAUGGGCCCGCGUUGGAUUAGCUAGUUGGUAGGGUAAAAGCCUACCAAGGCGACGAUCCAUAGCUGGUCUGAGAGGAUGAUCAGCCACACUGGGACUGAGACACGGCCCAGACUCCUACGGGAGGCAGCAGUGGGGAAUAUUGGACAAUGGGCGAAAGCCUGAUCCAGCAAUGCCGCGUGAGUGAUGAAGGCCUUAGGGUUGUAAAGCUCUUUUACCCGGGAUGAUAAUGACAGUACCGGGAGAAUAAGCUCCGGCUAACUCCGUG